rnacentral:lncRNA from 1 species
CAUUCAUAAUCAGUUUCCAGGGCCGUCCCCAUACCCCGUCCGGUAUGGGCGCCAAAACCAUAAACCUCAAUACCCCGUCCGGUAUGAGGGUGAAACGGGCCGUCCCCAUACCCCGUCCGGUAUGGGCGCCAAAACCAUAAAUCUCAAUACCCCGUCCGGUAUGAGGGUGAAACGGGCCGUCCCCAUACCCCGUCCGGUAUGGGCGCCAAAAC